UUGUUAACAUCCCCUCCCCUCCUUCGCCUGACGGGGUGAAAGGUAUCCGCUGCUCCCCGGGACAGAGGAGACCUCAUUUUUAUAUGUGAACGGCUGUGAACACCGCUGAAUGACACACUACAAAGGUUGGAUGUGCUGCUGCCCUUUCUCUCUUAAAUGGGCAGGAACAUCAUUUCGCCCUGGAACCACACACCUGCCGACGAACGCAGCAACAUGACAGAAAACAAGGGCUAAAGGCAGGCUCAGCAGUGCCGGCUGGGAGGAUGCAGCCUGGGAUAAAGUUGCAGAGCGCCGGACUGAUUUUUUUGAGGUGGAGCAUUUACUUUUCAACUCAUGAGCAAACAAGAAUCCAACUAAGCAUUUGCUGUCUAAUCAGUUCUGGAGAGGAUCACUUCCAAGAGGUUUUCCUAUUCAGUUCCAUCACAGCAUUUCAGUGACGGCAAAGGUAGUGAAUCCUCUCAUUCCAGACAUUGUGUAAACUUGCUUAUAAUCAAUAUCAGAUAUACUGUAUAAAUAAUGAAUAAUAAGUUCUAAAAGUUUUGAAACUGAUCCUGGUGUUUGCUUCAGACAGCAGCUG